AUGAAGGAAUCUGACUUAUUGGAUGCAUUACUGUCUUCACAUAUUCGUGACAUGAUGGCAUUUUUGGAAAGACAGAGGGUCCCUAUUACCUGCAAGACCGACUCAAGUGGCAUCCCUACUAACUUACACUGGUACCAGAAGAAACUGAGAAGCAUCCCUAAGCUCCUGAUUUAUGGCACAUCCAACCUAGCUUCUGGAGUCCCAGCUUUCUUCAACAUCAUGGAGAGUGAAGAUGCAGCCACUUGCUACUAUCUACAGAAGAACAUCAGCCUCACAAAGGUCACAUCACAUCACAGACAUAAAGGCCCUACUCAGCUCCUGGGGUUGCUGCUGCUCUGGCUUACAGGUGGCAGAUGUGACAUCCAGAUGUCCCAGUCUCCAGCCUUUCUGUUUUCAUCUCUGGGAGACAGUAUCUCCAUCACUUGCCGGGCAAGUGAGAACAUUUACAGUAAUUUAGCAUGGUAUCAGCAGAAACCAGGGAAACCUCCUAAGCUCCUGAUCUAUAAUGCAAACAGCUUGGCAGAUGGGGUCCCAUCGAGGUUCAGUGGCAGUGGAUCUGACACACAGUAUUCUCUCAAGAUCAGCAGUCUGCAGCCUGAAGAUUUUGCAACUUAUUACUGUCAACAGUAUGAGAAUGCCCCACCCACAGUGAUUCAAGCCAUGACACUAACUACCCAGAGAAGCAGAAUUGUGAGUUCAGGAUGCCCCAUCUCUCCUUCUGUGUUCUCAAGCUGUUGA